rnacentral:rRNA from 1 species
UGCAGUCGAGCGGACAGAUGGGAGCUUGCUCCCUGAUGUUAGCGGCGGACGGGUGAGUAACACGUGGGUAACCUGCCUGUAAGACUGGGAUAACUCCGGGAAACCGGGGCUAAUACCGGAUGGUUGUCUGAACCGCAUGGUUCAGACAUAAAAGGUGGCUUCGGCUACCACUUACAGAUGGACCCGCGGCGCAUUAGCUAGUUGGUGAGGUAACGGCUCACCAAGGCGACGAUGCGUAGCCGACCUGAGAGGGUGAUCGGCCACACUGGGACUGAGACACGGCCCAGACUCCUACGGGAGGCAGCAGUAGGGAAUCUUCCGCAAUGGACGAAAGUCUGACGGAGCAACGCCGCGUGAGUGAUGAAGGUUUUCGGAUCGUAAAGCUCUGUUGUUAGGGAAGAACAAGUGCCGUUCAAAUAGGGCGGCACCUUGACGGUACCUAACCAGAAAGCCACGGCUAACUACGUGCCAGCAGCCGCGGUAAUACGUAGGUGGCAAGCGUUGUCCGGAAUUAUUGGGCGUAAAGGGCUCGCAGGCGGUUUCUUAAGUCUGAUGUGAAAGCCCCCGGCUCAACCGGGGAGGGUCAUUGGAAACUGGGGAACUUGAGUGCAGAAGAGGAGAGU